UUUCUAGGGUUCUUUCCUCUCUUCUAGUAUUGAAUUUUAGGUUGGAUCUUGUCAUCAAAUUAUUAGGGAUUCUGCUUAAUCCUCCAUUUUCUGUAUUGUUAGUGAGCAGUAGAGCUUGAAUGAUAAACAUAUUCCUGUUUGGAUUUCGUUUCUGGUCUUCUUCUGCCAACUUUAUAUUUCCAGAAAUUGCCUUGAAGGUGCCAUGGGCGACUCUUAAUUUUGAAAAUGGGGAAGGAUUUUAGCCUAGAAGCCCCCCAAUGAGGAUGGGAACGGAAACAACAUCCUCCAGUCCCCCCAAAUACUGCCGCAGAUCGCCUUCUACUCCUAAAAAAGUCCGAAUAGGGUUGAGUCGUUUAACUACCAAGUAAUUUCUCGCUUAUCGUCUAUGUUUCAGGUCCAAAAGUAAGCCCUAAGAUCUGGUGGGAUUCAUGAUGCUGAUUUCAGAGGUUUGGAGGCAUUAUGAUUUGCUGAUUUCAAGCCCUAAGGGACCUGGAUUCAAAUCCUAAUAUGGCAUCAUAUGACUCUGGUGAAAGAAAGAAGAGAAGAAAAAGAUGUGCGGAUAAGAAUCUAAAACUACUGCAUAAAAUGAAAAUGAAGAGCCUGCUGUAUAUUGGAGUGCCUUCUGUAGAAUCCAAGUCCAUUGGUUUUGGUUUUUCUGCUUCUUGUUGUGCACUCUGCCCUGUUGAAGAGCCUUCUGAAUGCAUUGUCGUUGAAGUGCUUUCUUCACUGUUUGUAUCACUUGGUAACUGUUUCUUUCUUCCUGAACAUUGUUCCCUGUUGAAGAAUCCAGUGACAGUCUCUUUGCUGGAAUACUUUCUUCAUCCUCUGGGUCCAUUGGUCCUUGAAUGCUCUUUCCCUAUUGAAGAGUCCAGUGAUGGCUUUUUUGUUAGAGAAUCUACUGCAAAGUCUGGAUUGAUUGCAAAUCGAGGAAAGGAUGAUGGAAUGUGGCCUUUUGCAGCCUUCACACUGCAGUUGCACCUUAUGCAGAUCUCUUGAACUCCCAUGGUAGGUGGCAUUUUGCACCUUAUGCAGUUUAUUGCAUUCUUGUUAUAGUCCACUGCUGAAAACAAAUACUGUUUCAAGCUAUUUGGGUUGUCAAGCUGCAUUAAGUGCAUUGGCUGCUCAUGCAAUUGAUCCCGGUGAAGCAGAAAGACAAGUUCUUGGCAUUAUCUUAGGGCAAGGUCAACAAAUGACUGAUGCUUUUCUUUCCACCACUACAUCCAAACUAGUUGUGGUGCUGGUGUUGCAGUUUUUUGGCUGAAUGUUUUAUCUUGCUUUCUCAUAUUCCAAGAUGAUUAUUUACAACAGGUUGUUGAAAGUCAGAGAUUUAGGUGGUGUUUGUUUUUUUACUUAAUUCUAAAUAGAACCUUAAUACUUAA